UCAUCAAGUGGGAUAAUUCCUUUCUGUUUCUCCUUUUGGAGGGCAAAUAGAACAAUAUGACUUGAGUUUGCAUGAUAUGUGAUUAGGGUCUCUCCAUAAUAAUAACAUAAAUAAAUAAAUAAAUGGAU